ensembl:misc_RNA Y_RNA Y RNA
UGCUGGUCUGAGUGCACUGGUGUUUAUAACUAAUCGAUCACAACCAGUUACAGAUUUAUUUGUACCUUCUCCACUCCCACUGCUUCACUGACCAGCCUUAA